rnacentral:lncRNA from 1 species
CUUAUAAAAAGACACAUUAUUACUGAUCAUCACCCAGCCUUGCACCUUCACAUGUCUAUGUUCAUACUUUACACAUUUCUUCACUCUUAUAUGAUUUUUUAUGUUUCUUAACAGUUUUAUAAUCUACAUUAUACAAACUUACAUUGAUAUUUAUAAUUUUAAUUAAAAUCUAGCAAUCUUAUAUGUUUAAAGUUUUUUAUUUCUAUUUCUAUUCUUCACCUUUGCCAAUUUUCCAAUAUUUUUUGCCUUUGCCAGAUUUUGUCCUUUUAUUUGUUUGGUUAUUUCCCUAUUUUGUUUCAUUUUUUAUUUUUAUCUGACUCUUUUACUUGUUUCAGUCAUUUAGUCUCUUUGUUUAAUAUAUUUCAUUAUAUUUUAAUCUCAACCAUACACAAAUACAAAAAGAAAAAAAAAAAAUGUCUCAUAGUCAAGUUUUAAAAAGUGGUUCAUGGUCAAACAUGCUUGCACCUGUUGAAGUAUGGCAACAAGUAUGGAAUAUAUUGCUGUCGAAUAACACAGAUUUCUAAAUGUAAAUGUUCCAUGCCUGUAUCAUGUAAUAAAUUUAGUGCUUUAUUUCCAACAAU